UGGAUUAUUAUUGACUUCAUGUUAGGUUUAGGGCUGCAGCUAUCUAAUAUUUUUGGAAUUGAGUAUUGUAUCGAUUAUUUUAUCAAGUAAUCGGACAAAAAGUACCUUUGCAUUUUUAAAC